rnacentral:misc_RNA from 1 species
GCCUUGUAUCACACACACACACGCUGACGAUCCAGCAGGCACGCCCGGCAUCCUGCGAGCCAUGUCCACGGAGACGCCGUCGCCGGCGAGUCGGCGGCGGCGGCAGUGCGUGGCAGUAGUGGCAGCCACGGCUGCGGCUUGCCUCGCGCCCCUGGUCGUGUUCCUGGCCGUGCUCGUCCUUGCGCCGUCCCUCAUCCCGCGGCUGCUCCUCCGGCCGCACCACGUCGUCCCGUACAUCGCGUCGGGCGAGCUCCGCGCCCUGGCAUUCGACGCCGCGGCCUCGGCCAUCACGUACAACCUCUCCGCCGUGCUGCGGUUCGACGGCGCGCCGAGCCUGCACGCGAGCCGGUACACGGGGAUCAGGGCCGCACCGUUCUGCGCCGGGCAGGAGCUAGGCGCCGCCGUGGCGCUGCCGGGGUUCACACAGCG